rnacentral:rRNA from 1 species
CCUACGGGAGGCUGCAGUGAGGAAUCUUGGUCAAUGGGCGCGCGCCUGACCCAGCCAAGUAGCGUGAAGGAUGACUGCCCUACGGGUUGUAAACUUCUUUUAUAAAGGAAUAAAGUGAGGCACGUGUGCCUUUUUGUAUGUACUUUAUGAAUAAGGAUCGGCUAACUCCGUGCCAGCAGCCGCGGUAAUACUGAGGAUCCGAGCGUUAUCCGGAUUUAUUGGGGUUAAAGGGAGCGUCGAGGGGUUGUUAAGUCAGUUGUGAAAGGUUGCGGCUCAACCGUAAAAUUGCAGUUGAUACUGGCAGUCUUGAGUACAGUUGAGGUAGGCGGAAUUCGGGGUGUAGCGGUGAAAUGCUUAGAUAUCACGAAGAACUCCGAUUGCGAAGGCAGCUUACUAAACUGCCACUGACAUUGAUGCUCGAAAGUGUGGGUAUCAAACAGGAUUAGAUACCCGAGUAGUC